CAUCACCAGCAGAUUUACUCAGCCUCCGUGAGGGGCUUGCGAGCUAAGAAGAAGUACAUAGAUGUGAAAAUCUCUUUCCUGAAGAUGAAGGCUUGUGUCAGGCAUCAGAGGAGGAAAUAUGAAAACAGAGAGAGGAAAACAGAAAUUGACACUUUGGAUAUCUAUAGAGAGGGGGGAGGUAAUAUUGUUUAUUUUGAUGGAUUGAUUCAUUUUGAACUUAUUUCAUC